UACGGCUAUCUCAUAUUGAAACACCGGCUCCCGUACGAUCGCCAAAGUUAAGCAAAGUCAAGCCUGGUCAGUACCCAGAUGGGUAACCGCUUGGGAAUACCAGCUGCUGUAAG